GGAAAAUGUUGAGGUGAGGCUAUGCCCGCUUACAUCUGUGCGAUAUAUUCGACCAUAACCUGGCCUUAAGGU